GACGAACGCUGGCGGCGUGCUUAACACAUGCAAGUCGAACGGAAAGGCCCUGCUGUUGUGGGGUACUCGAGUGGCGGAAGGGUGCGUAACACGUGAGUAACCUGCGCUUGCCUUUGGGAUAACGUCGGGAAACUGGGGCUAAUACCAGCUAGGAGCUCCUACUGCUUGUUGGGGGUUGGAAAUUUUCGGCGGUUGGGGAUGGACCCGCGGCCUAUCAGCUUGUUGGUGGGGUAGCAGCUUACCAAGGCUUUGACGGGUAGCCGGCCUGAGAGGGUGACCGGCCACAUUGGGACUGAGGUACGGCCCAGACUCCUACGGGAGGCAGCAGUGGGGAAUAUUGCACAAUGGGCGGAGGCCUGAUGCAGCAACGCCGCGUGCGGGAUGACGGCCUUCGGGUUGUAAACCGCUUUCGCCUGUGACGAAGCGUGAGUGACGGUAAUGGGUAAAGAAGCACCGGCUAACUACGUG
rnacentral:rRNA from 1 species